GACUAAAAGAAGAGAGUGAGGGCAGCUCUUUGUCAUGUACCCCAGUGGGUACCCGCAACAGGGCCAGCAUCAGGUUUCUCUCUCCUUUGCUCGCACCAAGUCACCUCGUAGCAUGACACUUUCAAACCGGCUAACCUGGGGCAUGAAGCAUGGCCAGUCCUCCACCCACCUCCCAAACAGAGUGGGUAGGCGGAAGGAGAAGAGGGGUGUUUCCUCCCAGUGCUGCAAGAAAGGAGCAGCCGGGGAUGACACCAGCUCCAGCAGGAGAUGAUGUAAUAAGGACUCACAUAUGCACAUGGAGUGAAUAAACGAAUUGAGGAAUGGAUGGGUGAAAACAACAAACUGUGAAUGGUCCAGCCAUCACCAAUAAGACAUGUAACAAUUUUUCCCAUCUUGCUUCACGCUGCCAGCAACUCGGGCUGGCCUUGUUGUAGUGAGUUGCCUCUGUUCCACACAAGCCAGGAUUUAACAACAGAAUAAAGGAGUGAACUUGCAAUA